rnacentral:ncRNA from 1 species
UUUUACAACUUCUGAGAUAAUUGAUUAGAGGGCGUCCAGUUUUGGUAACGAGCUGGAGUAUAACUGGGUGAAUUGCUGGAACUUCCUAAAGCUUCAUCAACCACAACGUAACUGGAAACGGUAAGCGUGUUGGUUUGAAAAUGAUGAGGAUGAUACAAUGGAUAAUCAGCAGCCAAGCUCCUGUGAGGAAACUCUGGAGAAGGUUCAACGACUAGAAUGUACUGUCUAAGGCAAUCGUUAUGACAAUGAGAUUCGUAGGGUGAUGGAAAUCAUUCGAAGUGCCCAGCCCCUUACAUAUAAGGGUGAAGAUAUAGUCUAUUCUAUGAUCGAAAGACAUAG